rnacentral:rRNA from 1 species
ACGAACGCUGGCGGCGUGCUUUACACAUGCAAGUCGAGCGAUGAGAUCCCUUCGGGGAUGGAUUAGCGGCGAACGGGUGAGGAACACGUGAAGAAUCUACCUUCAACACUGGGAUAACUCCGGGAAACCGGGGCUAAUACCGGAUAUGAGAACCGCAGGCAUCUGCGGCUCUGGAAAGUUUUUCGGUUGAAGAUGACUUCGCGGCCUAUCAGCUUGUUGGUGAGGUAAUGGCUCACCAAGGCGACGACGGGUAGCCGGCCUGAGAGGGCGACCGGCCACACUGGGACUGAGACACGGCCCAGACUCCUACGGGAGGCAGCAGUGGGGAAUAUUGGGCAAUGGAGGAAACUCUGACCCAGCGACGCCGCGUGCGGGAUGAAGGCCUUCGGGUUGUAAACCGCUUUCAGCAGGGAAGAAGCGAAAGUGACGGUACCUGCAGAAGAAGCACCGGCUAACUAUGU